rnacentral:rRNA from 1 species
CCUACGGGUGGCAGCAGUGAGGAAUAUUGGUCAAUGGACGCAAGUCUGAACCAGCCAUGCCGCGUGCAGGAAGACUGCUCUAUGAGUUGUAAACUGCUUUUGUACGAGGGUAAACGCAGAUACGCGUAUCUGUCUGAAAGUAUCGUACGAAUAAGGAUCGGCUAACUCCGUGCCAGCAGCCGCGGUAAUAAGGAGGAUUCAAGCGUUAUACGGAUUUAUUGGGGUUAAAGGGUGCGUAGGCGGUCGGUUAAGUUAGUUGUGAAAUCCCGAGGCUCAACUUCAGAAUUGCCUCUGAUACUGUUCGGCUAGAGUAUAGUAGAGGUAGGCGGAAUGCGUGGUGUAGCGGUGAAAUGCUUAGAGAUCACGAAGAACACCGAUUGCGAAGGCAGCUUACCGGGCUACAACUGACGUUGAGGCACGAAAGCGUGGGGAGCAAACAGGAUUAGAUACCCGUGUAGUC